GUAGGAGUGAGCCUGCUCGCGAUGAGGCCAUCUCAGUCGACAUCUCUGUUGACUGGUCUACUGCUAUCGCGAGCAGGCUCACUCCUAC
rnacentral:antisense_RNA from 1 species